UACGAAGGGGGCUAGCGUUGCUCGGAUUCACUGGGCGUAAAGCGCACGUAGGCGGAUUGUUAAGUCAGGGGUGAAAUCCUGGAGCUCAACUCCAGAACUGCCUUUGAUACUGGCGAUCUUGAGUCCGGGAGAGGUGAGUGGAACUGCGAGUGUAGAGGUGAAAUUCGUAGAUAUUCGCAAGAACACCAGUGGCGAAGGCGGCUCACUGGCCCGGUACUGACGCUGAGGUGCGAAAGCGUGGGGAGCAAACAGG
rnacentral:rRNA from 1 species